rnacentral:rRNA from 1 species
GACGAACCGUGCGAACGUUGUUCGGAAUCACUGGGCUUAAAGGGCGCGUAGGCGGUCGACCAAGUCUGGGGUGAAAUCUUUCGGCUUAACCGGAAAAGUGCCCCCGAUACUGGCCGGCUAGAGGGAGAUAGGGGCAUGUGGAACUUCCGGUGGAGCGGUGAAAUGCGUAGAUAUCGGAAGGAACGCCGGUGGCGAAAGCGACGUGCUGGAUCUCUUCUGACGCUGAGGCGCGAAAGCCAGGGGAGCAAACGGG